UUCAGAAUGAAUCAGUCAGGGGAACAUCUGCUUCUGAUCCUCAUCUUUUAAAACUGAAAGAUACUGUUUUUUAUGUUCAUCAUAAUAUCAAUAAUUAACAUGACAUUCUGGGUUCAACAGUGAAAAUCAGCUGUUCGAAUCCAUCAAGUUACCUUCACUGACAAAUUACUAAAAUAACUGCCUAUUGGAAGAUUAUCAGUGCUGUUGAAACAGUUUUCUAUUAAUUGUUUUUACUUUACGUUAUUGUUGAUAAAAAGAGAAAAGUAUUCUCUCACUACCAAAAAAAACUGUAAGACAACUUGUGUCUCUGCAGAUGAUCAGCGGUUUGGAUUCGGAGUCCUCCUUACUCUGAGGAUUGUGGGAAUCGUAGCUCUCUGCAGUUCAGUCGUCAUCUUUGAGUGCUGGUUCAGAAGGUUUCGCCAAAACCAAUGAAGGACUCACAAGAAGCAGACUAUGUCAACACAGUGGAGGAGAGUCGAGCCUCUUGAGCCACGAGGAGAAGAAGAAGAUGUUAAAUCCAUCAUCAGUGACGUGGUUUAUUCUUUCUAAUUAUGUCUAACAACAUGUUUGUCAUUCAUGUGAUUCACAGCUUGAUAUUUUCUUUGUACAUUUAAAUUAGUUUGAUCUAGAUUUAUCAUUUGGAGUUAUUUUUUUUCCUUUUGUGCCUUUUUGUGAUCAUUUAUGAGCAACUCAUAUCCUCAGCAUUUGCUUUUUUUUCUUUUGG
rnacentral:lncRNA from 1 species